AUUGAACGCUGGCGGCGUGCUUAACACAUGCAAGUCGAACGCGAACGGGGCUUCGGCCCCAAGUAGAGUGGCGCACGGGUGAGUAACGCGUGGACAAUCUGCCCUUAUGACUGGAAUAACAGUUGGAAACGGCUGCUAAUACCGGAUACGCUCAGGAAGAACUUUUUGAGGAAAGGCGGCCUCUGCUUGCAAGCUGUCGCAUAAGGAUGAGUCCGCGUCCCAUUAGCUAGUUGGCGGGGUAACGGCCCACCAAGGCAACGAUGGGUAGCCGAUUUGAGAGGAUGAUCGGCCACACUGGGACUGAAACACGGCCCAGACUCCUACGGGAGGCAGCAGUGGGGAAUAUUGCGCAAUGGGCGAAAGCCUGACGCAGCGACGCCGCGUGAGGGAUGAAGGUUUUCGGAUCGUAAAC
rnacentral:rRNA from 1 species